rnacentral:lncRNA from 1 species
AUUAGCUCAAAAUAUUCAAAUUAAUUAAAAUUAGAAUUUCCGGUCAAAUUAAGCACUAUUAGCGAAAACGGGAAAAUACCGGACAAUUAAGCACAAUUCCCUGAUUAAUUCUAGCACAAUAAACUAAGUGAAAUCAAUAAAAUAUCGACUCAUUAAAAUAGACCACACUUAGUCUUUUGCACUCUUGGGCAAAAUCAAGACGCAAAUCAGGGAAUAGAUCAAAGGACAUCAGGGAAGUGACACAGACUCAGCACGCAGAAAACAACAAAGACUGACAAGGAAAGAAACAGGAUUACACAGUCCUCAAGAAAUCUGGACAAAGAAAGUAAGUAGACAACAUCCCACAUAGAAUCAAGGAAAGCAGAUACUCAUGAAGUCAUCCAAGCAAUUCAAGACAUGGAAAAAUGAUCAAUCAGGUCAAGAGGUGAAUCAAAAGUAACAGAACCUCACAUAUGCACUAUUAGUGUUUCUCUCAAGUGUCUAUGGUAAACAAUUUCAACUCAAUGUCCUCAAGAAAGCAAACACAAACAGACUUAGCAAGCCUCUAAUAUCAACACUCAAACACAUAUGCAUGUUCAAAUCAAAAGGUCUUUUAUGGAUGAAAUGGGGCCAAGGAAAAGGGAGGAUAAAUAUGGAUAAGAAGCUACAAACCAAAAGGAAUAGAGGACCAAUGGGGAACAAGUGAAACACAAUCAAAUCACACCCAAAACCUCUAAUUCAAUCCUCUUCUUGACUCCAUUAUUCACACAAUUUUUUUAUUUUUUUCUCAUUUUUCUGUUUUUUUUUUCCUUUUUUUUUUCAUCUUGUCUCUUUUCUUUUCUCUCUUUUCAGAUCACAAAUCUAAGAGACAAGAUACACAACAUAUCUACAAAAACAAAAACAAGAAGAGGAACCAACUAGCCAAUUCAUCAGAAUCUCCCAAGAGACCACACUUAUUCCCAAAACAAUUCCAAAGCUCCAAAAUUCCCUAAGGUUAAGGUAAUCA